rnacentral:rRNA from 1 species
AGUGAACGCUGGCGAUAGGCCUAACACAUGCAAGUCGAACGGCAGCACAGUAAGAGCUUGCUCUUACGGGUGGCGAGUGGCGGGCGGGUGAGGAAUACAUCGGAAUCUACUUUUUCGUGGGGGAUAACGUAGGGAAACUUACGCUAAUACCGCAUACGACCUACGGGUGAAAGCAGGGGAUCUUCGGACCUUGCGCGAUUGAAUGAGCCGAUGUCGGAUUAGCUAGUUGGCGGGGUAAAGGCCCACCAAGGCGACGAUCCGUAGCUGGUCUGAGAGGAUGAUCAGACACACUGGAACUGAGACACGGUCCAGACUCCUACGGGAGGCAGCAGUGGGGAAUAUUGGACAAUGGGCGCAAGCCUGAUCCAGCCAUACCGCGUGGGUGAAGAAGGCCUUCGGGUUGUAAAGCCCUUUUGUUGGGAAAGAAAAGCAGCAGGUUAAUACCCCGCUGUUCUGACGGUACCCAAAGAAUAAGCACCGGCUAACUUCGUG